CCUACGGGAGGCAGCAGUGGGGAAUAUUGCGCAAUGGGGGAAACCCUGACGCAGCGACGCCGCGUGAGUGAUGAAGGCCCUCGGGUCGUAAAGCUCUGUCGGAAGGGAAGAACGUUUGGCGGUCAAAUAGGCCGUUAGGCUGACGGUACCUUCAAAGGAAGCACCGGCUAACUCCGUGCCAGCAGCCGCGGUAAUACGGAGGGUGCAAGCGUUGCUCGGAAUCACUGGGCGUAAAGGGAGUGUAGGCGGCCUCAUGUGUCUGACGUGAAAGCCCCGGGCUCACCCCGGGAAGUGCGUUGGAAACUGUGAGGCUAGAGUCUCGGAGAGGGAGGUGGAAUUCCAGGUGUAGCGGUGAAAUGCGUAGAUAUCUGGAAGAACACCGGUGGCGAAGGCGACCUCCUGGACGAUGACUGACGCUGAGACUCGAAAACGUGGGGAGCAAACAGGAUUAGAUACCCUGGUAGUCCACGCCUUAAACGAUGGGCACUAGGUGUCGCGGGUAUUGACCCCUGCGGUGCCGCAGCUAACGCAUUAAGUGCCCCGCCUGGGGACCACGGCCGCAAGGUUAAAACUCAAAGGAAUUGACGGGG
rnacentral:rRNA from 1 species